CAAAUUUGAAAUCUGGCACCUUCGGUGUCCGAGUUGUAAUUUGAAGAAGGUAACUUUGGAGUUGGCUCUUGUCUAUGUUCCUUGGAACAGGACGUCACAGAGGGUGAGAAUCCCGUGCGAUGAGAUGUCCAACUCUAUGUAAAGUGCUUUCGAAGAGUCGAGUUGUUUGGGAAUGCAGCUCUAAGUGGGUGGUAAAUUCCAUCUAAAGCUAAAUAUUGGCGAGAGACCGAUAGCGAACAAGUACAGUGAUGGAAAGAUGAAAAGAACUUUGAAAAGAGAGUGAAAAAGUACGUGAAAUUGUUGAAAGGGAAGGGUUUGAGAUCAGACUUGGUAUUUUGUAUGUCUUGCUUUCGGGUGGGGCCUCUGCAGUUUACUGGGCCAGCAUCGGUUUGGACGGUAGGAUAAUGACAUUGGAAUGUGGCACUACUUCGGUGGUGUGUUAUAGACUUUGUUGAUACUGCCUGUCUAGACCGAGGACUGCGUCUUUGACUAGGAUGCUGGCAUAAUGAUCCUA
rnacentral:rRNA from 2 species